rnacentral:misc_RNA from 1 species
GAUGAAGAACGCAGCGAAAUGCGAUAAUUAAUGUGAAUUACAGAAUUCCGUGAAUCAUCGAGUCUUUGAACGCACAUUGCGCCUCAUGGCAUUCCGUGAGGCAUGCCCAUCUCAGCGUUAGAAAAUAUUCUCAAAUUUUAGUUUUGUGCUAAAAUUUGGAUCAUGUCAAGGAAGCUAUUACUAUUAUUGUGAUCGCUCUUUGGAAAUUGAUAGGUCUUUGAGUUGCUACUCAUAGAACGUGAUGAAUCUUUCUUCGUUCUAUUGUAAUUCACUCUGGUAGUCCUAAAACUUGUAUGCCUGUGGCAUAUCUUGUAAUUUGACCUGAGAUUGGGUAGGGAUACCCGCUGAACUUAAGCGUAUCAAUAAGCGGAGGA